rnacentral:rRNA from 1 species
AGGACGAACGCUGGCGGCGCGCUUAACACAUGCAAGUCGAGCGAGAACCGGGACUUCGGUCCCGGGGACAGCGGCGAACGGGUGAGUAACACGUGGGUAAUCAACCCUCGGCACCGGGAUAGCCCGAGGAAACUCGGAUUAAUACCGGAUAGCCCCUCCGACUCUCGAGUCGGUCGGGAAAGGUAGCUUAGGCCUCUGGCCGGGGACGAGCCCGCGGCGGAUUAGCUUGUUGGUGGGGUAAUGGCCUACCAAGGCAACGAUCCGUAGCUGGUCUGAGAGGACGAUCAGCCACACUGGGACUGAGACACGGCCCAGACUCCUACGGGAGGCAGCAGUGGGGAAUCUUGCGCAAUGGGCGAAAGCCUGACGCAGCGACGCCGCGUGAGGGAAGAAGGGCCUUCGGGUUGUAAACCUCUUUCAGGAGGACGAAGCUACUCGGGUGAAUAGCCCAGAGGGUGACGGUACCUCCAGAAGAAGCCCGGCUAACUACGUGCCAGCAGCCGC